rnacentral:rRNA from 1 species
CCAUUGGAGGACAAGUCUGGUGCCAGCACCCGCGGUAAUUCCAGCUCCAAUAGCGUAUAUUAAAGUUGUUGCAGUUAAAAAGCUCGUAGUUGGAUUUGAAACGACGUAACUGGCUGAGAGGAUGGUUGGACCUUUACAGCUCUAGGUUGCUCGUUCUACGUCCGGUGGUGGUUGACUGGUCUUAACUGGCUGGUUAAUUGCUUCGGACCGUUUACCUUGAAUAAAUUAGGGUGUUCAAAGCAGGCUUAAGUAAGCCUUGAAUAGUUUAGCAUGGGAUAAUGGAAUACGACCCUCGCCUAGUUCGUUGGUAACCUGGGCGAGGGUAAUGAUAAAUAGGGAUUGUCGGGGUCAUUCAUAUUCAAUUGUUAGAGGUGAAAUUCUUAGAUUCUUUGAAGAUGAACUGAAGCGAAAGCGUUUGACAAGGAUGCUCCCAUUGAUCAAGAACGAAAGUUAGGGGAUCGAAGACGAUCAGAUACCGUCGUAGUCUUAACUAUAAACGAUACGAAUCGAGGAUUGGGAGACGUUAAUCGUACGACUCAUUCAGAACUCUAAGGGAAACCUUUGAAUUUUUACGUUCUGGGGGGAGUAUGGUCGCAAGGCUGAAACUUAAAGGAAUUGACGGAAGGGCACACCAGGAGUGGAGCCUGCGGCUUAAUUUGACAACACGGGAAAACUUACCAAGUCCAGACACAGUAAGGAUUGACAGAUUGAGAGCUCUUUCUUGAUUCUGUGGGUGGUGGUGCAUGGCCGUUCUUAGUUGGUGGAAUGGUCUGUCUGGUUAAUUCCGAUAACGAACGAGAUCUCUGCCUAUUAAAUAGGCGAGCUCAACGUCUACCGGGUGAAGCUGGUUGGUGCUGGGGACGGUUUACCGGACCCGAUCGGCUGGUGGAUCCUUGACGUAUGGGCUAGACUUCUUAGAGGGACUAAGGAUGUUUAAUCCUUGGAAGUUAGAGGCAAUAACAGGUCUGUGAUGCCCUUAGAUGUCUUGGGCUGCACGCGCGCUACAAUGUGAGGUAUCAAUGAGUCCACCUAG